rnacentral:lncRNA from 1 species
GGGCUUGCGGCCGCGUGUGGGGCUGUCGGUAUUGUGGCUGCCGAGGCUACCCGCUCCUGGUCAUGAGAGGUCAGGCCUGGGGAAGGGGGUGAGGCGGAGGGUUUCCGGGGAGAAGAGCCGAAGCUCGGACGUGGGUGGAGAACUCUGUCCUCGCGGAUUCCGGAAGAGUUGGCGUUCACUUUUCUUUCUCUUUCCCCUUGUUUAUGUAUGAAGGAGGGCAGGUUUUGUAUUCCUUUUUUAAUAGCAGAGACACAAACUGUCCUGUCCCAAGUCGCUCUUCAGAGAGAAGCGGACAGAGCCGCCGUGCCUUCCGAGCCUCUUCGAAACGUCACACAGUAACUGCACGGUUUCAGCCAGUCUCCGCCGCAGCUAGCUCCCUCGCGGGGGAAACGGGAGAGGCCCGGCGGUGUGGGCUCUGCGUUUCGUCGGGCGAUAGCGCGACUCUGGCACCCUGGCCCGAGAUCUACACUGGAUCACGUAGGGAUCUUGCCCUGCCCACAGCCUCUCUUCUGACAUCCCUACCCUCCCCACACACUGCCGGUGGUGGCAUUUUUAUUCGGGAGGCUAACUCCUUAUUUAGACUAAAGCAUCACUUAGCAAUUACAUGAUGACUCCCCCUAAGGGCCCCCUUUCAAAGGUAUUUGACUAACAUUCUUUUGGGAGGAGAAGCAAUAUUCUCAGUAGCACCAUUAAUUACUGAAAACCUUAUUAGCUUUGUGGAAGCUGUUUCAACAUAAAACGAAAUGUUUAUCUUUAUUGAUGCUUAAUUAAGGCACUGAUUUUUUUUUCCUUCCAAACAUUAACGAAUCUGU